GAUGAACGCUGGCGGCGUGCCUAAUACAUGCAAGUCGAGCGAACAGAUAAGGAGCUUGCUCCUUUGACGUUAGCGGCGGACGGGUGAGUAACACGUGGGUAACCUACCUAUAAGACUGGAAUAACUCCGGGAAACCGGGGCUAAUGCCGGAUAACAUUUAGAACCGCAUGGUUCUAAAGUGAAAGAUGGUUUUACUAUCACUUAUAGAUGGACCCGCGCCGUAUUAGCUAGUUGGUAAGGUAACGGCUUACCAAGGCAACGAUACGUAGCCGACCUGAGAGGGUGAUCGGCCACACUGGGACUGAGACACGGUCCAGACUCCUACGGGAGGCAGCAGUAGGGAAUCUUCCGCAAUGGGCGAAAGCCUGACGGAGCAACGCCGCGUGAGUGAUGAAGGUCUUCGGAUCGUAAAACUCUGUUAUUAGGGAAGAACAAAUGUGUAAGUAACUGUGCACGUCUUGACGGUACCUAAUCAGAAAGCCACGGCUAACUACGUG
rnacentral:rRNA from 1 species